rnacentral:misc_RNA from 1 species
AAGUCGUAACAAGGUUUCCGUAGGUGAACCUGCGGAAGGAUCAUUAACACGUAUCCAAACGUUAAACCCCCCUGUGAACCUUCACCUGUACUCGUACGUCCGUUAGAAAAAGCAGCAAUCCCUGGUAAAUCAUCGCCGAACAGUUUUCGAUUCAGGGAUGUCUGCAAGGAGCGUGCAUGUUGUGCGAGCAAGUGGCCUGGCAUCCCCAAGCAGUUAGUGUCUGAAAGUGUCAUUAACUUUGUAAGGAUGACGCAGUCACGAUCGUUGGAGGCCCACACGGCCGACGACCGGGUCACUGGGCGCAAGCCCCCCUAUAACAAACGCUGCUAAUCGCGGCCGCGAUAAUACGCAGUCGACCAAAAACCGAACAACUGUUAACAAUGGAUAUCUUGGUUCUC